rnacentral:piRNA from 1 species
CCUUUGGGCUUCGUGAAGGGGAUUUC